rnacentral:lncRNA from 10 species
CAGGAAACAGACAAAUGGCCAGCAGCUGCCAGGGUCUUUCAGCUGAGGCAACAUUCAGGAAGCCCGCACUGCUUCGUCUUCUCUGCUUCCUACGCAGGUCUCCCACCCCUCCACUGAGAGCUUCCCCUGUAGGGUACUAGACACCUCUCAGCAGCCAUAUCUCCAGACCAGGAUUCCUGCAAUGGCAAAUACCACUUCGACAAGUAUGAUGGCUGCUUGACCCAUGGGAAACGUCA